CGCACCUUCCGGGCCCCCAUUGGCUCGCCCGGAAGCCGCCUGAUGCGGGAAGCCCGCUCGCGGCGCCCUAUGGGAGUCCCCACGCCCAGUGAUGUCACCCUCGCCUUUUCGCUCCGGCGUAGGGGUUCAGGCGCAUGCUCCUCGCUUCCCGCCCUGGUGUGCUGCGGCCGUCUGCCGCCUGAGGUAGCGACGUCCGGUAACGGCCCUCGUCUGGCUGGGGCGGGCCGCGGGAGAGCCGGCGGCGUGCGGCUGCUGCUCCAGGGGUGCGUCUGGGGCGCUGCUGCGCCGUCAGCCGCGUUGGAGCGAGCGCGCAGGGAGCUGGCGGCUCUGAGAGCGUCCCUGCAGCUCCUGCCAUUCCCGUGCACCGGAGUGACCCGAAGUGUUCUGCGUCGCUUGCCUGGGAUGAGUAUUUACGAACCCGGGAGCGUGUUGCGUUGCGUUGGAGCUCAGAGAACACGGUUCGUAGAAUCACAGAAUCAACCAGGUUGGAAAAGAUCAUCAAGUCCAACCGUUCCCCAGCACUGCCGAGGCCGCCACUAAACCGUGUCACUGGGGGCCUCGUCUACACGGUUUGUGAACACUUCCAGGAAUGGUGACUCCACCACUGCCCUGGGCAGCCUGUUCCAAUGCCUGACCACCCUCUCAAUGAAGAAAUUGUUCCUAAUAUCCAAUAUAAACCUCCCCUCGUUCAGCUUGAGGCCAUUACCUCUUGUCCCAAGUUGUGAAAACUUUUGCCAAAUAAUAAACCAGGAGGGAGCAGGAGGCUUAAGGGGUGUUGUUUGUAGUUCCUUCCUCAGCAGCAGCGGUGUCCAGUGAAGGCAGGACUCCUGCCCAUCUCGCCAUGCCCUGCCAGGGCGCUGUAGUUACAGGUAUCCCGAAUGCUCCCUGACAUGCGAGAAGCUGGUCUGUUUCUCUCUUCUAGUGCACAGAAUUGACAUUCUAAUGAUACUGUGUUUUUUUUUCCAGUAGCAUUAGUGCUGCGGUGUGAGCAGCACUGCUGACUAGGCUCAUGUAUGGAUGUCCCCACAAAUAACGUGCAAAAAAAAAACCAAACCGAAAACACUUGAGGCACUGAUGUGGUCUGUAUAAAGGUAGAACUGUAUAAAGAAAAACUUUACAAGUUUUAACAAACAUAGUAUACAAAUUAUACUGCCAUUAAUUGAGACUAAAAGGAAUACAGCCAAUUAGUAAUCAGGUGAAGUCAUGCACGGAAGGUUCCUUGACCUGGUGAAGUGUACCUGCAUUAUGCAUUGUUUCAGUCUAAUGACUGUGGAGGGACUGUAAGAAUAAACUUGGAAGUUCCUACUUGAAGCUUUUCUCAGCUCCAAAGGCCAGAUUGCCUCCAGUUAAUCUCGGUCAUGUCAAUUCUUGAGACUAAGUGUGACAAUUUCAUGGGAGCAGUCAGAUGUUAAAUAAUUAAUGCUUAAGUCUAUAGAAUGAAAUGUAAAAGUGCGAUAGGACUCAGUGCAAAAUUUGGCUUUUGCUUACUGCAGCAACAGUAAGCAAAAAAAGGGAGGUGAGAGAAACAAAAAGUAAAAAAGAAAAUUAUGCAUAGAACAAGAAUUACACCCAUAGAUCAUAAACUAUGAAAUGGACCAUAAAAAUAGUAAGAAGGUUUAUCCAAUUCCAAACUACAAUUGUUUGAACACUGAGCAGCUUAAGAAAGCAAGUAGUAUGAUCAUUCUCAUCCAGAACAGCAAAUCAUUGCUGAAGUAAAAUCUUUUAGCUGGUGAUAGCACAAGGAAAAUAUUAAUCCUAGUUGUUAAUCCUUUUAAUUUAUAGGUAUUACAUAAAUCAUGUUGCUUAUUUUUCUAAGCGUGCUGUUAGGAUUGUCUGCACACUGUUCUCUUUUGGAGGAUGGCUUGUUGAGGACUCCACUGAUGGGCCAACAACUUUGGGAAUGUUUCAGAUGUAAUUACAGACUGCAAAAGUGAGCCUGAAAAUUGUAUCAGCUGCUGAUCUAGUUAUACUGAGAUGAAAAAUGGAACUUCAUCAUUGCCAUGUGUGAGAGAGCUUAAAAUAUCCUUUAAGGGGAAUUUGGAGACAUCAUAUUUCUGUAUCAAGAAGGAAUUACCCCUGCAUGCUGCCAGAAUAUGGCUAAAGUCAGCUGGAAAACCUUGCAGUUGCUGUCUUGGAGAAUUACCCUGCUGCCAUCUUAAAAGCAGUUUUAAGCAUCUGAAGUCCUUAUCAUGCAACGCUUUCUGACAUGACAUUAGGAUUACAGUUCACUGGAAUUCCUGAUGAUAGCCAGAGAUGAACAAGCACUGCUGCGAAUAAAACAGGAAGACCUAUAGCACAUUUUUGUAGCUGGCCUGCAUAUGAAGAAGGAUUCCCACCAAAGGUAUUGCCAGUAUUAGGUUUUGGUUUACCAAUAUUAGGCUUUUUUGUUGGUAGUGGUGGAUUCUACAGAUCUCCACAAUAAAACAUUGAGUAUUGCAUGCAAAUUAUGCUCUCUGUGGUAUUUUAUCUGUUCUGUCAUGUGCAUACCAUGCUGUUGAAACCCAUAACUCACUGCAUUUUUGAAACAGUAAAAGCUUUUCCUUUUUAAUUGCUGAUCAAAUUGUACAUUGACAUUUCCAGCAGUUACUGGUCAAAUUAUGGGCUUGACCAUUGAAAACAGAUUAUAUUUUGUUGUGGUUUUUGUGGUGGUUUUUUGUUUGUUUUCUUUUUAAACAGCAACUACAUCAGUGUAUACUCUUUUUUGAAAGCCAUGCAAGAACAGAAUAUACAGGACCACGCUUAUCUCUGUAGAAAUAAAGAGGGGUUUUGUGAGGUUUUUUACUUGUUUGUUUAUUCUUCAUAUUAUUUAGUUCCCCUUAGACUCAAGCUAGACAGCAUAACAAUAUCUUCCCACACAAACAGCAUGUUGCAAAGUUGUGUUUGUGACUUGGUGCUCUUAACAACCAUGUUUCAGAUAUAGUUAAUUUACUUUUUGCAUACAGUGUAAAGCUCUAGCAGAGAAGUCAUUUCUGCGUCACUAAGAAAUUGAUGGUGGUGGAGGGGCAGCAGAGUAUUUAGAGAACAGCUACAAGGCAAGUUAAACUGUAACUUUUAUGGCAUGAGCCUGAGGUUAGCUAUACAGAUUAGGAAACUACUUAGCAUUUUUUAAAUUAAGAUUUCUUGCUUGUUGGAACAUUGUUGGAAAUUGUUUAAGCUAGUGAAAUACCUAUGGGGUUUUGCAUAGGAGUUAGUGUAGAAAUCCAUCAAUGAUAACCUUUACAUUAAAGAAAUGAGUAUACAGUAGAGAGUAUCUUGGUUUUGUUUCAAUGUCUCAGUCGUAAUUUGAGGCAAAAGUUAAAAGUCAAUAAAGAGCAUUCCAUAAUUCCUCGACAUCGCUUCCAGAUUGUUUUACUAAAUCCAAGAUGAAUUCUACCUUCCACAGCAGCCGAGUCAGGAUCCA